rnacentral:rRNA from 1 species
AUUGAACGCUGGCGGCAUGCUUUACACAUGCAAGUCGAACGGUAACAGGCCGCAAGGUGCUGACGAGUGGCGAACGGGUGAGUAAUGCAUCGGAACGUGCCCAGUCGUGGGGGAUAACGCAGCGAAAGCUGUGCUAAUACCGCAUACGAUCUAUGGAUGAAAGCGGGGGACCGUAAGGCCUCGCGCGAUGGGAGCGGCCGAUGUCAGAUUAGGUAGUUGGUGGGGUAAAGGCCUACCAAGCCGACGAUCUGUAGCUGGUCUGAGAGGACGACCAGCCACACUGGGACUGAGACACGGCCCAGACUCCUACGGGAGGCAGCAGUGGGGAAUUUUGGACAAUGGGCGCAAGCCUGAUCCAGCAAUGCCGCGUGCAGGAAGAAGGCCUUCGGGUUGUAAACUGCUUUUGUACGGAACGAAACGGUCUGGGUUAAUACCCUGGGCUAAUGACGGUACCGUAAGAAUAAGCACCGGCUAACUCUGUGCCAGCCGCCGCCGUAACAC